UGUUAAUAAAAAUCGGUGCGUUGCAAUUUUUGUGAUGUUCCGGAGUUUGAGUUAUCUUUAUCUUCUGGGUUUAAGAGGCUUAAAAUUGACCUUCUUUGUGCAUUUUAGACGUACAUAAAUUUUUUUUUAUUCGUUUAUCUUAAUGCCAAAAUCUAUUAGAUGCGACCAUAUCGUGUGGUUCCGUGUCUAUAAAUUUUUCAUG
rnacentral:misc_RNA from 1 species